CCUACGGGAGGCAGCAGUGAGGAAUCUUGGUCAAUGGACGAGAGUCUGAACCAGCCAAGUAGCGUGAAGGAUGACUGCCCUAUGGGUUGUAAACUUCUUUUAUAUGGGAAUAAAAUGUUCCACGUGUGGGAUUUUGUAUGUACCAUAUGAAUAAGGAUCGGCUAACUCCGCGCCAGCAGCCGCGGUAAUACGGAGGGUCCGAUCGUUAUCCGGAUUUAUUGGGUUUAAAGGGAGCGUAGGUGGAUUGUUAAGUCAGUUGUGAAAGUUUGCGGCUCAACCGUAAAAUUGCAGUUGAAACUGGCAGUCUUGAGUACAGUAGAGGUGGACGGAAUUCGUGGUGUAGCGGUGAAAUGCUUAGAUAUCACGAAGAACUCCGAUUGCGAAGGCAGUUCACUGGACUGCAACUGACACUGAGGCUCGAAAGUGUGGGUAUCAAACAGGAUUAGAUACCCUUGUAGUC
rnacentral:rRNA from 1 species